CUACGGGAGGCAGCAGUGAGGAAUAUUGGACAAUGGGCGGGAGCCUGAUCCAGCCAUGCCGCGUGCAGGAAGACUGCCCUAUGGGUUGUAAACUGCUUUUGUACAGGAAGAAACACUCCCUCGUGAGGGAGCUUGACGGUACUGUAAGAAUAAGGAUCGGCUAACUCCGUGCCAGCAGCCGCGGUAAUACGGAGGAUCCAAGCGUUAUCCGGAAUCAUUGGGUUUAAAGGGUCCGUAGGUGGAUGAUUAAGUCAGAGGUGAAAUCCUGCAGCUCAACUGUAGAAUUGCCUUUGAUACUGGUUGUCUUGAAUUAUUGUGAAGUAGUUAGAAUAUGUGGUGUAGCGGUGAAAUGCAUAGAUAUCACAUAGAAUACCGAUUGCGAAGGCAGAUUACUAACAAUACAUUGACACUGAUGGACGAAAGCGUGGGGAGCGAACAGGAUUAGAUACCCUGGUAGUCCACGCCGUAAAACGAGUGGAUACUAGCUGUUCGGAUUUAUCUGAGUGGCUAAGCGAAAGGUGAUAAGUAUCCACC
rnacentral:rRNA from 1 species